CAGGCCUAACACAUGCAAGUCGAGCGGGCCCUUCGGGGUCAGCGGCGGACGGGUGAGUAACGCGUGGGAACGUGCCUUCUGGUUCGGAAUAACUCAGGGAAGCUUGAGCUAAUACCGGAUACGCCCUUUUGGGGAAAGGUUUACUGCCGGAAGAUCGGCCCGCGUCUGAUUAGCUAGUUGGUGGGGUAACGGCCUACCAAGGCGACGAUCAGUAGCUGGUCUGAGAGGAUGAUCAGCCACACUGGGACUGAGACACGGCCCAGACUCCUACGGGAGGCAGCAGUGGGGAAUAUUGGACAAUGGGCGCAAGCCUGAUCCAGCCAUGCCGCGUGUAUGAAGAAGGCCUUCGGGUUGUAAAGUACUUUCAGCGGGGAGGAAGGGAGUGAGGUUAAUAACCUCAUUCAUUGACGUUACCCGCAGAAGAAGCACCGGCUAACUCCGUGCCAGCAGCCGCGGUAAU
rnacentral:rRNA from 1 species